rnacentral:rRNA from 1 species
GAUGAACGCUGGCGGCGUGCCUAAUACAUGCAAGUCGAGCGAACAGACGAGGAGCUUGCUCCUCUGACGUUAGCGGCGGACGGGUGAGUAACGCGUGGAUAACCUACCUAUAAGACUGGGAUAACUUCGGGAAACCGGAGCUAAUACCGGAUAAUAUAUUGAACCGCAUGGUUCAAUAGUGAAAGACGGUUUUGCUGUCACUUAUAGAUGGAUCCGCGCCGCAUUAGCUAGUUGGUAAGGUAACGGCUUACCAAGGCGACGAUGCGUAGCCGACCUGAGAGGGUGAUCGGCCACACUGGAACUGAGACACGGUCCAGACUCCUACGGGAGGCAGCAGUAGGGAAUCUUCCGCAAUGGGCGAAAGCCUGACGGAGCAACGCCGCGUGAGUGAUGAAGGUCUUCGGAUCGUAAAACUCUGUUAUUAGGGAAGAACAAAUGUGUAAGUAACUAAGCACGUCUUGACGGUACCUAAUCAGAAAGCCACGGCUAACUACGUG